rnacentral:lncRNA from 1 species
ACAGGAAGUCUGAGUGACAGUGUCAAGGACAGGCAAAGACGGAGGCAGGAGGUUAAGCAGAGACAAGGUCUUCCCUGCAGCAUCCCAGCAUCCAGUCCUUCCUAAGCACGUCGAGGUGCUAGCUCCAGGGAAAUCUGAGACACUGUGCUCAGUGUACGCACUCAGCUGACUCUAAUUACACUGGUCCAUACAGCUUGCCAACGGGUUCAGAAACUCCCAGUGUAUUUAAGGUUGGAUGACUCCUUGCACAGUUCGGAAUAAGCUUGUCUUCAACUCUCUCUCACUCCCUCUUCUCUCAUCCUCUAAUUCUUUGCCCCUGCUUCUGGCUUUGCUAUCAAUGUCCAGGAUGGAAAUUACCAGUUUCUACAACAUAGCUGAGUAACUCAGAAUUAUAACUCAACCAUGAGAGAUUUAGAUUUGAAACUUUCUGUCUGUCUCUCUAGAAAGAAGAGUUACACCACCCCUGGACCUUUACUCUUGAUGUGUUCAUUUGGUCACUUGGUGUGUCCCUGACCUUUUCCCAACCCUUCACCUGGACUUGGGUCCACAGGAACCUCCGGGACCUUGGGCCCAGUGCGACGCCAGGUGCAUGGCUCCUUGCCUUGUUCAAUCUGGGAGAGGACCUCAGGUUUGGAGAUGGCAUAGUCUGAGGAAAGAUAGGAGGUUAAUCUUGCCACAUUCUCAUCAGAAGCUGGGGCAGGCAUUUGUAAAAUCACUAACAGCCUAGAAACUAAAUGUCUUGACUGAUGCAGAACAGCAGUUGUCAAUGGUAGGCAUUCUGCUCAAAGUCUUUGAACAGUCUUGUGUAGAGUCCAGAGGGUGGGAGAGAUGCUCCUGCGCAUUCAACAAUGCAAGUAAAAGACCCCACCCACUGUUCAUCUGUCCACAGAGCUCAUGGUGCUGGACAAGGCCUCAUUAAGCAGCAGCAGCAUGUCUGCAAAGCAGAAUCGCACCAAAUACUCUUGUCCAGGAAGGAAGACUAUGAAGAGGGUCUUUCAGAACAGUAGCUCCAGGGGCAGGGGCAGUAGGGCUUUGGGGCAGAGAAAGAAUAUCUGCUUUGAAAGGCAAGGUCUACUACUCUUAUUCUCACAGACCCUGUGCUGUGUCACAUAAAAGCCACCCACUCCAUGAUAAGAGAACAAUUCCUCUGCUGCAGUGGAGUUGAUUAAAAAUACAGUGCAGAGCUGCCAGCACACCUGUACUCCAGUCUCAGCCAAAAUGGAGAUGUCAGUACUCUGGGCCUAGUGAGGACAGAGGUCACCGCUUUCCUUGGUCUGCUACUCCGUCAAGCAGAAGGGAAUAUCUGACUCUACUGAACAGCAUGAGGAGGCAAGAAAGGAAGGUCGGGGGAGAGGAGUCUCCUGCUCAGAUUAUCUAGGGGUCUGCACAUCACUGACAUGACAACAACCAUGUCACAAAGAGGUCUGGGACUCGUAAAAUCCCACCUUACAGAGGUGUAUACUAUGCUUACCCAGGGAGACCAGUGUCUCGUAGUUGCCCCUCAUCACAUGCUUGUAGAGCUCCUUCUGCCAGUCCUCCAGCUUGCCCCACUCCUGAUCAGAAAAAUACAUGGCCACAUCAUCAAAGGUCAGAGGCACCUGAAACCACAGUGUCACGCUCGCUCACCGACACACUUUCAGGCAUGGACCCUCAGGCUCACCACCCCAGAGCUCCCAAAAGCUACCUUGGGGACCUCGCCCUUGCUGCCUGGGGGAAGCCGAAGAAUCCAGAAGUUCCGGUUGCGUAGCAGAUUCUCCACAUUUUCCAGCCGCCGCUGCAGCAGCCCAUAUUCCUGCAGCAGGGUUCCCAGCACGGCCCACUUGCCCUCCAGCUGGUUGCUGAACUCCACAGCUGUCUUCUCACAGUCAGCCAGCUUCUUCUCUGCCAUCCCAGUUCGACCUUCUAGAGAAAGCAGUCGAGCAGCCUGUGAUUCAAUCUUCCUCUCCAUAGCCUGAAUUGUAGCUGCCAUUGUCCAUGGAGAAAUCUUUGAGAAAGAAGAGAAACCAGCAUCAUUCUUUGCACUGAGCCUUCAAGACCCCUAGGCCUAGGGGAGCUCAUGUAUAGGGGAAGUGAUAGCCUCUUUGGGUAUAACAGAAGUAGCCAGAGUCUGGCAGGUGCCUUGCCUUAGGACCGCAGAGCACACUGUGUAGAUUCCUAUCUUGGUGCUUUCCACCUUAUUCAGUCAUUUCCUGUAUGUCGCUACAGUGAGCAUCUCUUCUGGUGGACACUGUGUCUUUUCAUAGCACCGCGCUAAACACAUGGUAAACACACAGUGCACUUUUGCAAAAUAAACAAUGACUUAGCAUUGCUGGGCUGUUUUAGUGGAUGAACGAUACACUGCAGAUUUACUAGAGCCCAGCCUGCACUCCUGUCACAAUCGCACAGGAACUGCAUGAUGAUGACCCAGCAAAAACUCCAGCUGCUCAAUUGAGAGGUACAAACAAGGAGGUUGCUCAACUGCUUUUUUAAAAAAGCAUUUCAUGUCCCCACUUAACAGACAGAUAAGCUCAAUGGCUAAUUCCCCUUCCUCUGGGACAAUCUGAUUUGGUCCUUUCUUAAUUGCCCCUCCCCCAUGAGCUAAAAUUACCAUUACUGCCAAUUUUAACCAAUCAAAGAACUGAGUAUUUUGCUUGGUUUUUGUGAUGAAGUCUCACAUAGCCUUGGCUGCUCUAGAACUAAGUGGCAGAGGAUGGCUUUGAACCCUUGGUUUUCCUUGCCUUUACCACCCAAGUUCUGGGGUGACAAGUGUGUUGCUAUGCCUGGCACUGAGUUGGACUCUUUAUACCACCUGAACUUCCUUUAAGGUAAGAAUCAUUCUCAGACAUGAGCUGUCCUGAGAUCAGGGAUAAACUAUAAUCUGGUGAGGAAGGCAGAUAGUCAUACUUUUCACAUGUGCAACAACAAUCAUAAGACUGAUGCAUCCCUGUCAUUGGGAGUGGCAUAGAGGCUUUAGUGACUACCUACUGGGGAUAAAGAACACAUUUGGGUAGGGAAUGGGAGGAGCUCUUCCAUGUACAUCUAAGGUGCAACCCACAGGGUAGAUCAGAGAUCCUGUCAUGGGCGCCAUUUCUGGUCAGUGCCUGAAGAUGGAUGUUUCUUAUAUUCUAGAAGAAUAUUCUUGAACAAAAAAGAUUGGUGACUGUUUGCAAACAAACAAACAAACAAACAAACAACAACAAAAACAAAACAAAACAAAAAACCAAAAAAACCAAGUUCUAGAAACUAGUGUGGACUCAUCUGAGUUGCUGAGAACCAGAAAAUGGGAAGACAUGAGAAAAUGGGGACAUGAGAGCUUGACCAGAGGCAGAAAAGCUUGCCUGGGUGGUGCUCAAGAGUUCCUCAGGCUGUACAGAAGGAAGGACACUGGCUCUGACUGGGGACGUUCAGUGGGUCUCAGAUGGGUUCUGACUGGCAGAACUGUUAGAGGGAGCAAGUGCUGUGGAGGACACUUCUGGUCCCUUACUCCUCAGGACCAGCCCUGACUGGGAUUGCCCCAGACUAGAGUCUAUUUCAGACGUAUCCUUGUACUUUGCCACCCAUUCUCUCUGCUGCAAUCUGUGUGUUACACAAAGACAUUUGCACAAACAUC